GGCGAACGGGUGAGGAACACGUAAGAAUCUGCCCCUCGGUCGGGGACAACUUUUGGAAACGAAAGCUAAUACCCAAUAUGCUGUGGAGUGAAAGAAUUUCGCCGAGAGACGAUCUUGCGUCUGAUUAGCUUGUUGGGGUGGUAAUGGCACACCAAGGCGACGAUCAGUAGCUGGUCUGAGAGGAUGGACAGCCACAUUGGGACUGAGACACGGCCCAGACUCCUACGGGAGGCAGCAGUGGGGAAUUUUCCGCAAUGGACGAAAGUCUGACGGAGCGACGCUGCGUGAAGGAUGAAGGCCCGUGGGUUGUAAACUUCUUUUCUCGAAGAAGAAAAAAAUGACGGUAUUCGAGGAAUAAGCAUCGGCUAACUCUGUGCCAGCAGCCGCGGUAAGACAGAGGAUGCAAGUGUUAUUCGGAAUGAUUGGGCGUAAAGAGUCUGUAGGCGGUUUAGAAAGUCUUUUGUGAAAUACUUCAGCUCAACUGAGGCUCCGCAAAAGAAACUUCUAGACUUGAGGAAAGUAGAGGUACAGGGAAUUUCCGGUGGAGCGGUGAAAUGCGUAGAUAUCGGAAGGAACACCAAUAUGGCGAAGGCACUGUACUGGGCUUUUCCUGACGCUCAGAGACGAAAGCUGAAGGAGUGAUUAGGAUUAGAUACCCUAGUAAUUUCAGCCGUAAACGAUGAAAACUCACUGUCGAGCCAAUAUAUGGAGCGGUGGUCAAGCUAACGCGUGAAGUUUUCCGCCUGGGGAUUACGCUUGCAAAAGUGAAACUCAAAGGAAUUGACGGGGACCCGCACAAGCGGUGGAGUAUGUGGUUUAAUUCGAUGCAACGCGAAAAACCUUACCAGGGUUUGAAAUAAUUUCAAAACUUCUUGAAAGAGAAGCCUCCUUCGGGAUGGAAUUACAGGUGGUGCAUGGCUGUCGUCAGCUCGUGUUGUGAAAUGUCAAGUUAAGUCUUGUAACGAGCGCAACCCAUGUCUCUUGUUGCUGUUUACAGUGCUUAAGAGAAACUGCCGAUCAACAUCGGAGGAAGGUGUGGAUGAUGUCAAGUCAGCAUGCCCCUUACAUCCUGGGCUACACACGUACUACAAUG
rnacentral:rRNA from 1 species